AACGGCGAGUGAAGCGGUAACAGCUCAAAUUUGAAAUCUGGCCUCACGGUCCGAGUUGUAAUUUGUAGAGGAUGCUUCGAGCAUGGUCUGGCCUAAGUUCCUUGGAACAGGACGUCAUAGAGGGUGAGAAUCCCGUAUGCGGCCAGGUGCCUACGCUCAUGUGAAGCUCCUUCGACGAGUCGAGUUGUUUGGGAAUGCAGCUCAAAAUGGGUGGUAAAUUUCAUCUAAAGCUAAAUAUUGGCCAGAGACCGAUAGCGCACAAGUAGAGUGAUCGAAAGAUGAAAAGCACUUUGGAAAGAGAGUUAAACAGUACGUGAAAUUGUUGAAAGGGAAGCGCUUGCAACCAGACUUGCGCGCGGCUGAUCAUCCGGUGUUCUCACCGGUGCACUCGGCCGUGCUCAGGCCAGCAUCGGUUUUGGCGGCUGGAUAAAGGCCCUAGGAAUGUGGCUCCUCUCGGGGAGUGUUAUAGCCUAGGGUGCAAUGCAGCCUGCUGGGACCGAGGACCGCGCUUCGGCUAGGAUGCUGGCGUAAUGGUUGUAAGCGGCCCGUCUUGAAACACGGACCAAGGAGUCUAACAUCUAUGCGAGUGUUUGGGUGUCAAACCCAUACGCGUAAUGAAAGUGAACGGAGGUGAGAACCCUUAAGGGUGCAUCAUCGACCGAUCCUGAUGUCUUCGGAAGGAUUUGAGUAAGAGCAUAGCUGUUGGGACCCGAAAGAUGGUGAACUA
rnacentral:rRNA from 1 species